UGCGUAGGCGGGGCAAUUAGUCAGUGGUGAAAUCCUGCGGCUUAACCGUAGAACUGCCAUUGAUACUGUUGCCCUUGAGUAUAGUUGAGGUGGGCGGAAUGUGUAAUGUAGCGGUGAAAUGCAUAGAGAUUACACAGAACACCAAUUGCGAAGGCAGCUCACUAAGCUAUAACUGACGCUGAGGCACGAAAGCGUGGGGAGCGAACCGGAUUAGAUACCCGAGUAGUCC
rnacentral:rRNA from 1 species